rfam:Peptoniphilus sp. BV3C26 contig00012, whole genome shotgun sequence.
AAAAAAUAUUAAGCGCCAGACCUUAUUGGUUAACGAGGAACGAAGUUAUCGAAAUUUCGGCGGAUGCUUCGUAGGUACCACAGCCUAAACAUCAAACAAAUAUGUAAGCAAUUACAAAACAAAGUUGAUGGAGUGGAUCUCU